rnacentral:tRNA from 1 species
GGGCCUGUAGCUUAGUGGCAGAGCACCCGGUUUGCAUCCGGGAAACAGGGGUUCGAUUCCCCUCAGGUCCA